GUCCACGUGGUGCCGCGGACCGCCGCAGAUCAGCAAUCUGCUCCCCUGAUAGUGAAAACUGUGGCAGCACUGCCCUCAUUUGUUACCGUCUUUGGAUAAAGAGGAAGUUUGAAGUUUGAUUUUGUGCAACACAUUGGAUCAGACGUUCACUGUCCAACAUCUGCUUUUCAGUUAUAUGGCUGAGAUGUAUUUAGUUUCAGCUUCUCAUUGGAAGAGGCAUGCAGACAACAUUUGCACUUAGACGGCAGGAGAUUGUCACUGGAGAUAAAACAAUAAAGGAUCUACUGGCUCAAUGGCCCGCCCUUAACAUGGAGUCACAGGUGUUUGCGGAGUUCCAUCGCAUCACCAAUGUGAAUCUCCGCAAUACAUUCUACGCAGAGCUUGAUCGUCAUACAAAAUCACUAGUUGCACUGUACAGGCAGAAGGCUUCUCACACAGGAAAGAUUCCAGAGGCCCUGCAGAGAAUCCUCAGAGAAUAUGAUAUGCAGGAGGAACAGGAUAUAAAUUUGAGGCGCACACUGUCACUUCGUGCGCUUUCAGUCUACUUGAGAGAGGAUGACACAGACUUUUAUAAA